AUGCUGCGCAAUGUUUUUGUUGCCAAAGGGAGGAUGUUUUCGUCACCCGCCACAUGUCUGGCACUUGGGCAUUGCCCAUCGUCCGCAUUCCGCAUCAUGUUGCGCAGAUACAAAUCCAGUGCUGAACUAUUCAGGAUAACUAAGGAGGAGACCUCCCAACCACCCGGGAGCGUCCUGAUGUGCUUUGCUGAUGCUGCACAACGGUACUGUACUGGACCUCUGUCCUCUUCAGGGAAACUGUACUCUCGUAUGAAUGUAGGAAGUACUGCCAACUGUAAUGGUAAAUGUGCAAGCUUUCAGAAUAUCCAUGUACUGCUCCUCACUCCUCCUGAAGUAAAUGGUAACCUAACCUCAUGUGUAUCCAGGAAAUAGUGCCCAUUGUAUUGCUAGAAUGCAAGCUGGCAGAAUUUCUCCAUGACGCACCCUCUUUGUUUCAUCACAACCGUUUUGGUUUCUGAAUAGUACAUGUGACCAGGCCACACUCCCUGUUCUCUAUGCUCUCAUUUUUAGAAUGGGACAUGACAUGCACAGUGAAAUUAGAGAAUUAGGACAGUUUCUCUCUCUUUCUCCAACCCGUGACCAAGGUAACCUGUGAUCUCCCUACUUUAAUAACAAGCCGGUCUCAGCCAGGCUAUCGCAUUGCUCUAUAAUCCACAAAUAACGUACCAGUGUUGCACCUCUUCUGGCAGAAUGAAGACAAUUUCAAUGACCUCAGACACAGUAAAAAUACAGAGCGCUGAAGGUGCACUGAGUAACUCCCCCCAGAAGCUGGUUUCCUAUGGUGGUUUAGAUGUGUGUUCCCUGUUCUAGCACCAUAUGAAAUCAGUGUUCUGGGAGGCAGAUUAGCAGCUCAUGGAAACAGACCAAAUCAUAGUUUACACGUAUAUGAUAUAUAAUGAUGUAUGGUGUAUAUGGUAAGUACAACUGCAUGAAGUGUUUCAUUGCAAUUUUGCAAUAAAGUUAUUUCUGUCUUGAUAACUAUGUUAUUCGUUUGGCUACUUUCUGUAUAACCUCUAAAGUUAUUAAAGUGAACAAAUUAUACCAUCAG
rnacentral:lncRNA from 1 species